rnacentral:rRNA from 1 species
AGGGCACCACCAGGAGUGGAGCCUGCGGCUUAAUUUGACUCAACACGGGAAAACUCACCCGGCCCGGACACUGGAAGGAUUGACAGAUUGAGAGCUCUUUCUUGAUUCAGUGGGUGGUGGUGCAUGGCCGUUCUUAGUUGGUGGAGUGAUUUGUCUGGUUAAUUCCGAUAACGAACGAGACUCUAGCCUACUAAAUAGAUCGUCGGCUUACAAACGCCGGCGAGACUUCUUAGAGGGACAGGCGGUGAUUCAACCGCACGAAACAGAGCAAUAACAGGUCUGUGAUGCCCUUAGAUGUCCGGGGCCGCACGCGCGCUACACUGAAGUGAUCAGCGUGCUUUUUCAACCUACUCUGUCAAGAGUGGGGAACCCAAUGAACCUUCUUCGUGAUUGGGAUAGGGGAUUGUAAUUAUUCUUCUUGAACGAGGAAUUCCCAGUAAAUGCGAGUCAUAAGCUCGCGUUGAUUACGUCCCUGCCCUUUGUACACACCGCCCGUCGCUACUACCGAUUGAACGAUUU